AAGUCCCGUAACGAGCGCAACCCUCGUCUUUAGUUGAAAAUCUAAAGAGACUGCCGGAAACAAACCGGAGGAAGGUGGGGAUGACGUCAAGUCAGCAUGGCUCUUACGUCCAGGGCUACACACACGCUACAAUGGUCGCUACAGCGAGAAGCCACCCUGCGAAGGGGAGCAGAUCUCUAAAAGGCGGCCUCAGUUCAGAUUGCACUCUGCAACCCGAGUGCAUGAAGUCGGAGUUGCUAGUAACCGCGUGUCAGCAUAGCGCGGUGAAUAUGUUCCCGGGUCUUGUACACACCGCCCGU
rnacentral:rRNA from 1 species